GAUGUCUGACUUCCCCUCUGCGUCCUACUGAUCUGGCACCCUGUGUAAUGCACCCUCUCCCUGCAUCUUGGACUCUUACUUCCCACUGCUUCCCUAGGCGCCCGGCCUCACAAAUGCAGGUGAGAGAAGGCAGGCCUGCGAGGGCCCCACUCCAACAGGCGUCACCAGAACACAGCAGGACUCACAGAGGAGGCCCCCCGCCCUGAAGACUCCAUGAAGAAGCCUGCUUGAAACGUGAAGAAGCAACGGGUCUUGGGACUGGAGCUGAGGAGCGCAGCGCAAGGAGAAGCCAAAAGAAAGCAAGAACUAGAAAAAUAACCUGAAGGCACAGAAAGUCUUGCAGCGCUCUCCCUGUCCCGAGCCCCGCCAUAGUCUCCUUUUCCCAAGAGUCAGGAAGAAUCCAUUUCUGCCUAGUUAAGAAACACAGCAAAGCGGUAAAAUGCGGACAAAGCGUCCGGGUGAGCGGCUCUGUCAGUGAGUGGUUGGAAAAUGUGGGAGUCAAAAAAGGGGCUCGCUUGGGAGAGGUGGUAUCAGCAAAGUCUUCUUGGAGGAGGUGGCAUUUAACUUAAGACUUGAAGGAUGGGCGGAGAGGAGAGGCCUGGGCAUUCCCAGCCUGGAGCUAACCAGGCGUGGCUCUCGUCCGCCGGCCCUCCCGAGCUCCCCGCUCCGCUCCCCUCCCGCCCCACUCCGCUCGCCCGCGCCCCACUUCCCGGCACUGACGUCAGCGGGCGCUGACCGCAGCGCGGAGGCGGUG
rnacentral:lncRNA from 1 species